GAUGAAGAAACGCAGCGAAAUGCGAUAAGUAAUGCGAAUUGCAGAAUUCCAGUGAGUCAUCGAAUCUUUGAACGCACAUUGCGCCCUUUGGUAUUCCGAAGGGCAUGCCUGUUCGAGCGUCAUUAUCACCCCUCAAGCCCCCGGCUUGGUGUUGGACGGUUGGUGACGGUAACGUCACCCCUCCCAAAGACAAUGACGGCGGCCUCGUUGGACCCCCGGUACACUGAGUUCCUCACCGAACACGUAUCGGAUCAAGGGUGCGCGGGGCACGGUCUGCCUCCCCUCAGGGAGAACUUUUUCUAAGGUUGACCUCGGAUCAGGUAGGGAUACCCGCUGAACUUAAGCAUAUCAAUAAGCGGAGGA
rnacentral:misc_RNA from 1 species